rnacentral:tRNA from 1 species
GGGGGUAUAGCUCAGUGGUAGAGCAUUUGACUGCAGAUCAAGAGGUCCCCAGUUCAAAUCUGGGUGCCCCAU